rnacentral:rRNA from 1 species
UACGUAGGGGGCGAGCGUUGUCCGGAAUUAUUGGGCGUAAAGCGCGCGCAGGCGGCUUCUUAAGUCUGAUGUGAAAGCCCGCGGCUCAACCGCGGAGGGUCAUUGGAAACUGGGAGGCUUGAGGACAGAAGAGGAGAGUGGAAUUCCACGUGUAGCGGUGAAAUGCGUAGAUAUGUGGAGGAACACCAGUGGCGAAAGCGGCUCUCUGGGCCUUACCUGACGCUGAGGCGCGAAAGCUAGGGGAGCGAACAGG